GACGCGUCCAUUUGAACAUCUCGCCUGAGUGGUUCUCCCGCACGCCUGCCUGUCGUUAGCAGUCGUGUUCGCAGCUGCUUCCCAGUCUUCCUCCGGAAUAGGGGAGGGAGAGGGAAUGAGAAGCUGCAGCGGCCGAGGAGUCACCGUGACCGUCCCCGCCGCCACCCUCGGGCCCCCUCGGCCCCCGCGCCUCCGGGGAGCAGCCGGGGCUCGCCGCGCCUGACGCGUCCCGAGUCACACAGAAGCUGACCAGAGUGUGUUUGAAUUCACACAGAAAUAAUGUUGAUAUUUGGAACCCAUGUCGAACUUCUAUGAAGAAAGGGCAACAAUGAUUGCAGCCGGGGAUUUGCAGGAAUUUGUUCCUUUUGGUCGAGACCACUGCAAGCACCACCCUAAUGCUUUGAACCUUCAGCUUCGCCAGCUGCAGCCAGCGUCGGAGUUAUGGUCUUCUGAUGGUGCUGCUGGCUUGGUGGGAUCCCUUCAGGAGGUUACGAUCCACGAGAAACAGAAGGAGAGCUGGCAGUUAAGGAAAGGCGUAAGUGAAAUUGGAGAAGAAGUAGAUUACGAUGAGGAACUCUAUGUGGCUGGAAAUAUGGUUAUCUGGAGCAAAGGAAGUAAAAGCCAGGCAUUGGCUGUUUAUAAAGCGUUUACAGUUGACGGUCCUGUUCAACAGGCAUUGUGGUGUGACUUCAUUAUAUCACAGGAUAAGUCUGAAAAGGACUACAGUAGUGAUGAAGUAGAAAAAUGCAUAUGUAUAUUGCAAAGCUCAUGUAUUAACAUGCAUAGCAUAGAAGGAAAGGAUUACAUAGCUUCUUUACCUUUUCAGGUUGCAAAUGUUUGGCCUACGAAGUAUGGCUUGUUGUUCGAAAGAAGCAGCUCUUCACAUGAGGUUCCUCCAGGCCCACCCAGAGAACCUUUACCCACUAUGUUCAGCAUGCUGCAUCCACUAGAUGAAAUUACACCUCUUGUUUGUAAAUCUGGAAGUCUUUUUGGUUCAUCACGGGUACAAUAUGUUGUAGAUCAUGCAAUGAAAAUUGUUUUUCUCAACACUGAUCCCUCCGUUGUAAUGACCUAUGACACCGUUCAAGGUUUGCAUUCUGUGUGGGCUCUGCGGAGAGUCAAAACAGAGGAAGAGAAUGUUGUUUUAAAGUUCUCUGAACAGGGGGGCACCCCACAGAAUGUGGCCACCAGCAGCUCGCUCACAGCACACCUCAGAAGCCUCUCCAGGGGAGACUCCCCCGUGGCUUCCCCCUUCCAGAACUACUCCUCCAUCCACAGCCAGAGUCGCUCAACCUCCUCGCCCAGCCUACACUCCCGCUCACCUUCCAUUUCCAACAUGGCAGCUCUCAGUCGUGCUCAUUCUCCAGCCUUAGGAGUGCACUCUUUUUCAGGGGUGCAAAGAUUCAACCUUUCAAGCCAUAAUCAAUCUCCAAAGAGACACAGUAUUUCUCAUUCUCCAAAUAGUAAUUCUAACGGCUCCUUUCUUGCACCAGAAACAGAGCCAAUUGUUCCUGAACUUUGUAUGGACCAUUUAUGGACAGAAACGAUUACUAAUACAAGGGAGAAAAAUUCACAGGCCUCAAAAGUCUUUAUUACAUCUGACCUAUGUGGGCAGAAGUUCUUGUGCUUUUUAGUAGAGUCCCAGCUCCAGUUACGAUGUAUAAAGUUUCAAGAGAGUAAUGAUAAAACCCAGCUCAUCUUUGGCUCCGUCACCAACAUACAGGCAAAGGAUGCAGCUCCAGUGGAGAAGAUAGACACUAUGCUGGUCCUGGAAGGCAGUGGAAACCUGGUGCUGUACACAGGAGUGGUUCGGGUGGGAAAGGUUUUCAUUCCUGGGCUGCCAGCUCCCUCCCUGACAAUGUCGAACACAAUGCCUCGGCCCAGCACCCCGCUUGACAGCGUUAGUACUCCUAACCCUCUGAGUAAGCUGCUUGGAUCCCUGGAUGAGGCUGUUCUAUUGUCCCCAGUUCCAGAACUAAGGGAUUCUUCAAAGCUUCAUGAUUCUCUCUAUAAUGAGGAUUGUACUUUCCAACAGCUUGGAACUUACAUUCAUUCUAUAAGAGACCCUGUCCGUAACAGGGUAACGCUAGAACUGAGUAAUGGCUCCAUGGUUAGGAUCACUAUUCCUGAAAUUGCCACCUCUGAAUUAGUACAAACUUGUUUGCAAGCAAUUAAAUUUAUCCUGCCAAAAGAAGUAGCUGUUCAGAUGCUUGUCAAGUGGUACAGUGUCCACAGUGCUCCGGGAGGACCCAGUUAUCACUCAGAGUGGAACUUAUUUCUGACUUGUCUCAUGAACAUGAUGGGUUAUAACACAGACCGCUUAGCAUGGACAAGGAAUUUUGACUUUGAAGGAUCACUUUCCCCAGUCAUUGCACCCAAAAAAGCAAGACCUUCUGAGACGGGAUCUGAUGAUGACUGGGAAUAUUUACUAAAUUCAGACUACCACCAGAAUGUUGAGUCUCAUCUUUUGAAUAGAUCUUUAUGUUUGAGUCCUUUGGAAGUUUCACAGAUGAAGGAUGAGGAUUUGUCACAGAAUCUCAGUUUGGACUCUUCUACACUUCUUUUCACUCACAUACCUGCAAUUUUUUUUGUUCUUCACCUGGUCUAUGAGGAGCUUAAGUUGAACACUCUAAUGGGAGAAGGAAUUCGUUCACUUGUUGAACUUCUCGUUCAGUUGGCAAGGGACUUAAAAUUGGAGGCUUAUGUAGAUCAUUACUAUAGAGAUUACCCAACACUUGUCAGAACUACUGGACAAGUGUGUACAAUUGAUCAAGGACAAACAGGAUUUAUGCAUCAUCCAUCAUUUUUUACUUCUGAGCCACCAAGUAUUUAUCAGUGGGUGAGUUCUUGUCUGAAGGGUGAAGGAAUGCCACCCUAUCCUUACCUCCCCGUCAUCUGUGAAAGAAGCAGACUUGUAGUCUUGAGUAUUGCACUCUACAUACUUGGUGAUGAAAGUUCUGUUUCUGAUGAAUCCUCACAGUAUUUAUCCAGAAUAAGUAUAGCCCCACAGAAGUCCCAAGCAGAACAAGAGGAGAACAGGUUUAGUUUCAGGCAUUCUACAUCAGUUUCUAGUCUAGCUGAGAGAUUAGUCGUCUGGAUGACUAACGUAGGUUUCGCGUUAAGAGACUUGGCAACUCUUCCCUUUGGAAUUGCUCUUCCCAUCAGAGAUGCGAUUUAUCACUGUCGGGAGCAGCCUGCUUCAGACUGGCCAGAAGCUGUUUGCCUCUUGAUUGGACGUCAGGAUCUUUCCAAGCAGGCCUGUGAAGGAAACUUGCCCAAAGGGAAGUCUGUGCUCUCAUCAGAUGUUCCUUCAGGAACAGAAACUGAGGAGGAAGAUGAUGGCAUGAAUGACAUGAAUCAGGAGGUGAUGUCACUAAUAUGGAGUGAAGACUUAAGGGUGCAGGAUGUGCGAAGGCUUCUUCAGAGUGCGCAUCCUGUCCGCGUCAAUGUGGUGCAGUACCCAGAACUCAGUGACCACGAGUUCAUUGAGGAAAAAGAGAACAGAUUGCUCCAGUUGUGUCAGCGAACUAUGGCUCUUCCAGUAGGACGGGGAAUGUUUACCUUGUUUUCAUACCAUCCUGUUCCAACGGAGCCAUUGCCUAUUCCUAAGUUGAAUCUGACUGGGCGGGCACCCCCUCGGAACACAACAGUAGACCUGAACAGUGGCAACAUCGAUGUGCCUCCCAACAUGACCAGCUGGGCCAGCUUCCAUAAUGGCGUGGCUGCCGGCCUGAAGAUAGCCCCUGCCUCCCAGAUCGACUCAGCCUGGAUUGUCUACAAUAAGCCCAAGCACGCCGAGUUAGCCAAUGAGUAUGCCGGCUUUCUCAUGGCCCUGGGUCUGAACGGGCACCUUACCAAGCUGGCUACUCUGAAUAUCCAUGACUACCUGACGAAGGGUCAUGAGAUGACAAGCAUUGGACUGCUCCUUGGUGUUUCUGCUGCUAAACUAGGCACCAUGGAUAUGUCGAUUACACGGCUUCUUAGCAUCCACAUUCCUGCUCUCCUGCCCCCAACGUCCACAGAGCUUGAUGUUCCUCACAACGUCCAAGUGGCUGCAGUGGUUGGCAUCGGCCUUGUUUAUCAAGGGACAGCUCAUAGGCAUACCGCAGAAGUCUUGUUGGCUGAAAUAGGACGGCCCCCUGGUCCUGAAAUGGAAUACUGCACGGACAGAGAGUCUUACUCUUUGGCUGCUGGCUUGGCUCUGGGCAUGGUUUGCUUGGGGCACGGCAGUAAUUUGAUAGGUAUGUCUGAUCUCAAUGUGCCCGAGCAGCUCUAUCAGUACAUGGUUGGAGGCCAUAGGCGCUUUCAAGCAGGGAUGCACAGGGAGAAACAUAAAUCUCCAAGUUAUCAAAUCAAAGAAGGAGAUACCAUAAAUGUGGAUGUAACUUGUCCGGGUGCCACUCUCGCUUUGGCCAUGAUCUACUUAAAAACCAAUAACAGAUCCAUUGCAGAUUGGCUCCGAGCUCCCGACACCAUGUAUUUGCUGGACUUUGUGAAGCCAGAAUUUCUCUUACUUAGGACGCUUGCUCGAUGCCUGAUUUUGUGGGAUGAUAUUUUACCAAAUUCCAAGUGGGUUGAUAGCAACGUUCCUCAAAUUAUAAGAGAAAAUAGUAUCUCUCUCAGUGAAAUCGAAUUGCCGUGUUCAGAGGAUUUGAAUUUGGAAACUUUGUCGCAGGCACAUGUCUACAUAAUUGCAGGAGCUUGUUUGUCUCUGGGUUUUCGAUUUGCUGGCUCAGAAAACUUAUCAGCAUUUAACUGUUUGCAUAAAUUUGCAAAAGAUUUUAUGACUUAUUUGUCUGCACCCAAUGCUUCUGUAACAGGUCCUUACAACCUGGAGACCUGCCUGAGUGUGGUGCUGCUGUCUCUCGCCAUGGUGAUGGCUGGCUCGGGGAACCUGAAGGUUUUGCAGCUUUGUCGCUUCUUGCACAUGAAAACAGGUGGUGAAAUGAACUAUGGUUUCCACUUAGCCCAUCACAUGGCCCUUGGACUUCUGUUUUUGGGAGGAGGAAGGUACUCUUUGAGCACAUCAAACUCUUCCAUUGCCGCCCUCCUCUGUGCCCUUUACCCGCACUUCCCAGCUCACAGCACUGACAACCGGUAUCACCUCCAGGCUCUCCGGCAUCUGUAUGUGCUGGCUGCAGAACCGAGACUUCUCGUGCCCGUGGAUGUGGACACAAACACGCCCUGCUAUGCCCUCUUAGAAGUGACCUAUAAGGGCACUCAGUGGUAUGAACAAACCAAAGAAGAAUUGAUGGCUCCUACCCUUCUUCCAGAACUCCACCUUUUAAAGCAGAUUAAAGUUAAAGGCCCACGAUACUGGGAACUGCUCAUAGAUUUAAGCAAGGGAACCCAACACUUGAAGUCAAUUCUUUCCAAGGACGGGGUUUUAUAUGUUAAGCUCAGAGCAGGUCAGCUCUCAUACAAGGAAGAUCCAAUGGGGUGGCAAAGUUUGUUGGCCCAGACUGUUGCCAACAGGAACUCUGAAGCUCGGGCUUUCAAGCCUGAAACGAUUUCAGCAUUCACUUCUGAUCCAGCACUUCUGUCAUUUGCUGAAUAUUUCUGCAAACCAACUGUGAACAUGGGUCAGAAACAGGAAAUUCUGGAUCUCUUUUCUUCAGUACUCUAUGAAUGUGUGACCCAGGAGACCCCAGAGAUGUUACCUGCAUACGUAGCAAUGGAUCAGGCUGUAAGAAGACUGGGGAGAAGAGAAAUGUCCGAGACAUCUGAACUUUGGCAGAUAAAGUUGGUGUUAGAGUUUUUCAGCUCCAGAAGCCAUCAGGAGCGGCUGCAGAACCACCCUAAGCGAGGGCUCUUUAUGAACUCGGAAUUCCUCCCUGUUGUCAAGUGCACUAUUGAUAAUACUCUGGACCAGUGGCUACAAGCUGGGGGUGAUGGGUGUGUGCACGCCUACCUCAGCGGGCAGCCCUGCGAGGAGUCGCAGCUGAGCAUGCUGGCCUGUUUCCUCGUCUACCACUCGGUGCCAGCCCCGCGGCUCCUGCCGUCUAUAGGAUUAGAAGGAUGGAGUAACAGAGAUCUGAUUUACUAUCCUACCCGAAACAAGAAAACAAAACAACACAAAAUAAACAAGCUGAAAAAACAACAGAGAAAACUGGACACUGCAUAUGAAACAAUGGCUUUUGAGACGUGUAUCAGGCAAUGAAGAAGAGUGAUCCCUGAGAGAUGAGAAAUAAAUGAGAUAAGCCCUGUGAUUGGCCCAGCUAACAAGCCUUGAGAGUUUCCAGACUGUGAAGGAGGGAGAGGGAAUCCAGGAAGAGCCUGGAAGACUCCUUCAGUUGAGGUGAUGGAGCUGAGAGUACAGGGAGCCAAAGGAGCUAGAGUUUACAUGAUAGAGUGCCAGAGAGGAGAGAGCUACACACAGAGAAUGCCAGAUGUCUGCAGAGGGUCCCCCUCAAAUAUCAGAAGAGUCCUUACUAAUCAACACAUGCAUGUGAAGAAGUUUCCCAAGGCUGAGGGAAGAACUGUCCUAAUGGAUUAGAGAGAACCAGUUUGUACAGGUUCAGGAACAGUGUCUGUUCCCACAACUUCACAAUUUAAGGGGCUGUACUCAGUGUAGUCUUGCCUCAACAAUGGGAAAUAUUUAGCCCUAGACUAAACAGACUAAACAGAAAUAUUUAGCCCUAGACUAAAAUAUUUUAGCCCGCCUUAAAAAUCUUAAAAGCAUGACACAAAAGGAUCAAACUGCUUUUCAAGUAAUAUAACUAUGUUCUGAAAGCUCAAGAAUACAGAAAUACGAAAAUAUCCAGCACCCACGGUAAAAUUCAUGAUGUCUGGCGUACAAAGAAACAGGAAAAUACAGCCUAUAAUGAAGGAGGUGGGAAAUCAAUUACCACUGACCUGGAAUUGACAUGGAUGUUAGUUAGCAGACAAGGACAUUAAGACAGUUAUAACUCGAUUCCAUAUAACCUUAUUCCAUAUUUCAAAACAUUAAGAGAUAUGGAAACAUAAAAAGAAUCUAACUGAACUUUUAGAGGUGAAAACUAUAAUUCUGAGAAAAACACACUGAAUGGGAUUAAUAGCAGAUUAGACAUUGCAGAAUUAAAAAAAAGUGAGUUUGAAGACAGCAUUAGAAACUAUCCAAAAUGAAAUACAAAAAGAAAAAAAGAAUUAAAAAAAAAAGGAACAGAGCAUUAAAAAUGGAGUAAACUCUGGGACUUAAAGGACCCAAUUUACAUGAGAUGGAGUCCCUGAAGAAGAGAAAAAUGGGGGAGAGGGACAGAAAAAAAUACUUGAAGAAAUAAUGGCUGGAAAAUUUACAAGUUUAAUGAAAACGAAAGUCCACAGAUGCAAGAAGUUCAAUGAAUCCCAAGCCUGAGAAACAUGAAGAAAGUUGCACCAAGGCACAUAAUAACCAAAUUGCCCAAAACUGAUGAUAAAAAGUCUUAAAAGCAGCCAGAAGAAAAAGACAGAAACAAAAAAUAAGAGUCAUAGCAUAUUUUUCAUAGGAAACAAUGCAAGUGAUAAAUUAGUGGAGUAACAUCUGUAAAGGACUCAAAGGAAAAACACUAUCUAGUUAGAAUUUUAUACCCCGCAAAAAUAUCUUUCAAAAAAAAAAAAAAGACCAUGAAAUAAAGCCUUUUUCAGACACACAAAAGCUGAAAGAAUUCAUCAACAGCAGCAGACCCACACUAGUGGAAAUGUUACAGUAAGUCCUUGAGGCAGAAGGAAAAUAAUGUCAGAUUGAAAUAUGGAUCUACACAAAGGAAUGAAGAGCAUUGGAAAUGGUAACUACAUGGAUAUAUACAUAAGACUCUGCCGUCUGCAUGUCUACUAGGAUGCUUGUUGUGGCUUAGAGACUCAUCGGGAUCAUGUAUGUGUAUAUGUUGGGGCUGAGGAAAGGGAACUGUGGACAGCGGCAUGUGGUGAGGAUGGAGGCAAAGAGGAAGAUGAUGCUUAAUAGAAUUUGCAGGGAACACAAGCUUCGCAGAACUCCUCUUCAAAUUUAAACAGCUGAAGAUGCCAGUGCGAGCUUUGCUGAGAUUGGCUCCUUUGCUUCUUGGAAAUCCACAACCAAUGCUUAUGUGAUCAUGUC